CAUUAUUGAACUAUGUUUUCUGGAUGAGUUGUUGCUGGCUCCUCGGAGCAUGUGCACACUUGCUGGACUUCAUUUUCAUCCACCUGUGCACCUAUUGUAGUCUUUGUUGGGUAUCGAGGAAGUGGUCAGCCUGUCAGCAUUUGUCUGGAUGUGAGGGCUUGCAGUGUUGAAAGCACUGCUGUUCUUGGCUCGACUUAUGGAAUCAUUAUCUCAGCAGAGUCUAUGUGUUUCAUUACACCCUGUAGAAUGUCAUUGAAUGUCUUUGCAUGGGCUUGUAUGCCUAUGAAAAUUGUAAUACAACUUUCAGCAACGGAUCUCUUGGCUCUCGCAUCGAUGAAGAACGCAGCGAAAUGCGAUAAGUAAUGUGAAUUGCAGAAUUCAGUGAAUCAUCGAAUCUUUGAACGCAUCUGCGCUCCUUGGUAUUCCGAGGAGCAUGCCUGUUUGAGUGUCAUUAAAUUCUCAACCUCCUUUGUUUUGUAAGGGAGAGCUUGGAUUGUGGGGGUCUGCUGGCUCUUGUAUGAGGUCAGCUCCUCUGAAAUGCAUUAGCAGAACUGUUUGCGAUCUGCCACAAGUGUGAUAAUUAUCUACACUGGCGAGGGGAUUGCUCUCUGUUGUUCAGCUUCCAAUCGUCUUAGGACAACUUG
rnacentral:rRNA from 1 species